UACGGAGGAUCCAAGCGUUAUCCGGAUUUAUUGGGCUUAAAGGGAGCGUAGGCGGCCAAUUAAGUCAGGGGUGAAAGACGGUGGCUCAACCAUCGCAGUGCCUUUGAUACUGAUUGGCUUGAAUGUAGUUGAGGUAGGCGGAAUGUGACAAGUAGCGGUGAAAUGCAUAGAUAUGGGGCAGAACACCGGUUGCGAAGGCGGCUUACUGGGCUAUAAUUGACGCUGAGGCUCGAAAGCGUGGGGAUCAAACAGG
rnacentral:rRNA from 1 species